rnacentral:rRNA from 1 species
CCAAUAGCGUAUAUUAAAGUUGUUGCAGUUAAAAAGCUCGUAGUUGAACUUCGGGGUUUACCCAUUGGUCAGGUUUAAUUAUCUGUACUGGUGAGAUAAAUCUCUACCUUCUGAGGAACUUUCAUGCCAUUUAUUUAGUGUGGGAGGAAAUCAGGACUGUUACUUUGAAAAAAUUAGAGUGUUUAAAGCAGGCUAACGUCUGAAUACAUUAGCAUGGAAUAAUGAAAUAGGACGGACUGAUUCUAUUUCGUUGGUUUCUAGGAUCACCGUAAUGAUUAAUAGGGAUAGUUGGGGGCAUUAGUAUUCAAUUGUCAGAGGUGAAAUUCUUGGAUUUAUUGAAGACUAACUACUGCGAAAGCAUUUGCCAAGGAUGUUUUCAUUAAUCAAGAACGAAAGUUAGGGGAUCGAAGACGAUCAGAUACCGUCGUAGUCUUAACCAUAAACUAUGCCGACUAGGGAUCGGACGAAGUUAAUUUUAUAAUGACGCGUUCGGCACCUUACG